rnacentral:rRNA from 1 species
ACGCUCGACACCUACGGGAGGCAGCAGUGGGGAAUAUUGGGCAAUGGGCGCAAGCCUGACCCAGCAACGCCGCGUGAAGGAUGAAGGCUUUCGGGUUGUAAACUUCUUUUAUUCGGGACGAAGAAAAUGACGGUACCGAAUGAAUAAGCCACGGCUAACUACGUGCCAACAGCCGCGGUAAUCUGAGCGGGCUGGCAAGGC